CGGAGAGUUUGAUCCUGGCUCAGAGCGAACGCUGGCGGCAGGCUUAACACAUGCAAGUCGAGCGGGCCCUUCGGGGUCAGCGGCAGACGGGUGAGUAACGCGUGGGAACGUGCCCUUCGGUUCGGAAUAACUCAGGGAAACUUGAGCUAAUACCGGAUACGCCCAUGGCCUCUGGCCCUGGGGAAAGGUUUAUCUGCCGAAGGAUCGGCCCGCGUCUGAUUAGCUAGUUGGUGAGGUUACGGCUCACCAAGGCGACGAUCAGUAGCUGGUCUGAGAGGAUGAUCAGCCACACUGGGACUGAGACACGGCCCAGACUCCUACGGGAGGCAGCAGUGGGGAAUAUUGGACAAUGGGGGCAACCCUGAUCCAGCCAUGCCGCGUGAGUGAUGACGGCCUUAGGGUUGUAAAGCUCUUUUCUCCGGGACGAUAAUGACGGUACCGGAGGAAUAAGCCCCGGCUAACUUCGUGCCAGCAGCCGCGGUAAUACGAAGGGGGCUAGCGUUGCUCGGAAUCACUGGGCGUAAAGGGCGCGUAGGCGGCUGAUUUAGUCGAGGGUGAAAGCCCGUGGCUCAACCACGGAAUGGCCUUCGAUACUGAUUGGCUUGAGACCGGAAGAGGACAGCGGAACUGCGAGUGUAGAGGUGAAAUUCGUAGAUAUUCGCAAGAACACCAGUGGCGAAGGCGGCUGUCUGGUCCGGUUCUG
rnacentral:rRNA from 1 species